rnacentral:rRNA from 1 species
GACGAACCGUGCGAACGUUGUUCGGAAUCACUGGGCUUAAAGGGCGCGUAGGCGGGUUCGCAAGUCUGUGGUGAAAGCCUCCAGCUUAACUGGAGAAGUGCCAUGGAUACUGCGCAUCUUGAGGAGGGUAGGGGCGUCUGGAACGGUCGGUGGAGCGGUGAAAUGCGUUGAUAUCGACCGGAACUCCGGUGGCGAAGGCGAGGCGCUGGACCCUUUCUGACGCUGAGGCGCGAAAGCCAGGGGGAGCAAACGGG